UUGUCCAGACUCUUGUUACGCAAAUGUGAGAUUGGGACUUACUGUCGUCGCUAUUGAUAAUAUUUCGUUAUCGGGGAUUCCAGAUGGUCUUAUACGAGCCAUUUUAGAGUCGAAUCCAAAUCUAUCUUUAUCUUUGAUGGUCGCUUUUAGUGGUACAUUAUCGAAAACUUCCUUUUCCUCUGAUUUAGUGAUUGACGUAACUCUCAACCUGGAUAAAAAUACUUUCCUGACUGGAUUCACCUUUGAAGAUAUUGGAAUUCAUUUGGUUAUUCCGCAAAAUUCUCCUCAUCCUGCAAUUGUGUUUGUAGAGGGGGACGUGAUUCCUAUCAACUCAUUCAUUCGCAGGUCCCUUACUUUUAUUGUUGCGGUGAAUGGGUGCCCUUUUGAUGGAUUUUUUCCAAUUCCGAGUUGUACAGCUACUCUUUCUCUUAUUAGACAUCGAUUUGGUUUUUGCAUAGUUUUUAUUCAGAUAUUCGUGAUUUAAAUUUUGCUGAUUGUCGUGCUUUUUUGAUUCAAAGACAAAAUCGUUUUCUGGCUUUUGGUUUAUCUAUAAUCGGAGAUGGGUACAGUUAUCCAACUAUAGGUAUAUGUAUAUUUUUAUGUUUAGUAAAUGUAAAUGAGGCCUCUCCUGCAUACAAAGCAGGAGUUCCUUAUGAUGUGGAUGUUCUUGCUAUUGAUGGGGUCGACUGCUGUUCUAUGAGUCGUGAUGACAUUGCAGUCAAGUUACGAGGAAAUGAUUCCAAUAGUCUUUAUAUUUUUGUGAGAACAAAAAACAAAGAAAAAUCAUCUCCCAAAUUAAUUCAAAAAACUACAAAUGAGACAUCUCAUUUGGUUUCUGGGGAUGGUAUCUAUGAUGUCACUUUGGGGGGUAAGGGAGAAAAUUGUGGUCUUGUCCUCCAAGGGGGAAGGCAGAGUGCUCCUCACAUAAUAAGAUGUCUUGUCGAUGGAAGUAUAGCUAGUCGUUCUUCGCUUCAAGUUGGAGAUGAAUUGAUUGAGAUUGAUGGAGUGGAUGUUACAAAAUUGAGUCGUAGCACAUGUUCAGCAC